UUAGAGAAAACAACCAACCAACUGAUCGUUUAAAGUACAAAAAAUAUUGAAUCGAAGACGUUCGUUCAAUCUUCUAUGACGGACGAAUAAUGAUCGUAAGGCAUGAAUCAUUCUAAUAAUAUUUUGUCAGGCAGUAGAUCGUUCGUUGUUUAAUAGUUAUGUGUAUACAAGGGUACCAAAAAUGAUACAAUUUGAAAUGUUAGUCCUGUUUCUAUAGCGAGGAUGUUGCACUGACUUUUUCUAUAUAUGAAUAUUUUUUGGUAAUUAUUUUUAUUUUGUUUGUUUGUAGUUGCUUAUUUGUACAAAUUCUAUUUGUUGUGG